rnacentral:rRNA from 1 species
CAGCCGCCACGGGAAUACGAGGGGGGCAAGCGUUGUUCGGAAUUAUUGGGCGUAAAGGGUGCGUAGGCGGCUUGACAAGUCUUGUGUGAAAUCUAUGGGCUCAACCCAUAGUCUGCACGGGAAACUGUCGGGCUUGAAAAUGGGAGAGGUGAGUGGAAUUUCCGGUGUAGCGGUGAAAUGCGUAGAUAUCAGGAGGAACACCUGUGGCGAAAGCGGCUCACUGGACCAUUUUUGACGCUGAGGUGCGAAAGCGUGAGGAGCAAACAGGAUUAGAUACCCCUGUAGUCCCUGUCUCUUAUAC